rnacentral:snRNA from 1 species
AUAUCUUCUCGGCUUUUUUAGCUAAGAUCAUGUUUAUAAACUGUUCUUAUCNNAGUAACUCCUGAUAC